UUCAGAAGUGUGACAUGGACAAACUAAAGGGCAAAACUGAAGAAAAAAGACCUUUGGCAUCAGGAUGACUAGAGCUCAGAUCUCUACUCAAACAUCAAUUUGCUGAAACAAGCUGUUCAAAUAUUUCAGAUCUUCAUUGCCUUAUCUAUAAAAUAUGAAAAAUAAUAAUUCUACUUUCUAAAGGUGUUUAGACAAGUGCCUGUCACAUAGUAAGUAUUCCACAGAUGUUCCUUUUCAUUGUCCUUAUUGCUGUUAUGAAAUGAAAAGUUAAUGAAGUAUAAAUAAGAUCAAUUGAAGAAACAUCAAAAGAUGAUGUUUCUUAACUACCAAUUUCUUGGGCCAUUGAUUUUUAAAAUAAAGAUUAAAUCAACCAUACUCAACCCUAAACAAGAGCCAUGUCUUUCUACCACUGGUACAAAUUCCAAUACUUGAAUUCUACUUCAUGACACCUGAUGGUUUUCAAAAGCAGUACGUGUCUCAUGAUACUCUGAACAGUAGAAUUCUUAAUAUGUUUCUCUUUUAUUGUACUAUCCAUU
rnacentral:lncRNA from 10 species